rnacentral:rRNA from 1 species
CCUACGGGAGGCAGCAGUGGGGAAUAUUGCACAAUGGGGGAAACCCUGAUGCAGCGACGCCGCGUGAGUGAAGAAGUACCUCGGUACGUAAAGCUCUAUCAGCAGGGAAGAAAAUGACGGUACCUGACUAAGAAGCCCCGGCUAACUACGGGCCAGCAGCCGCGGUAAUACGUAGGGGGCAAGCGUUAUCCGGAUUUACUGGGUGUAAAGGGAGCGUAGACGGCAGCACAAGUCUGGAGUGAAAUCCCGGGGCUUAACCCCGGAACUGCUUUUGAAACUGUUCGGCUGGAGUGCAGUAGGGGGAAGCGGAAUUCCUGGUGUAGCGGUGAAAUGCGUAGAUAUUAGGAGGAACACCGGUGGCGAAGGCGGCUUACUGGACUGUAACUGACGUUGAGGCUCGAAAGCGUGGGGAGCAAACAGGAUUAGAUACCCGUGUAGUC